CGCGCUCACCGAUGAAGAGGAUGGGGAAGGUGAUGAAGAGCAGAAAGACGUGCGGCACCACGUUGAGCGCGUCCACGAAGCAGCCGUUGUUGAGGACUCCUUGGUCCACCCGGCAAACCAAGGAGACCAACACCAGAAGGCCUGCUAACGCUCCCAUGCCCGCCCAUUCCUUCAGAUGAUUCAUGGCUGCAGCAAUCCAUGCUGGUUUCCGCCUUCCACCUUCCCGAUGGCGCGUGACUUUGACCAUCUGAGAACUGGCUGGGUGGACUUUGAGGAAAAGAGAUGCACAGAGGCCCGCACACAGUGAGGCUCGGCUCUUUGGAUCGACAUUGCUACACUGUCUUCGUGCUUCGACACUUGACUUUGCAGAGUAAAAAUUUCCAGAGAGCUUCUCGGGGUAAUCCAACUGAGUCUUGCGAUUUUCUCUGACUCGUCAUGCUGACUUGUGUUGCUGCAGGGGUUGGGGGAGAUGGAGGGGAGGUAAAGGUAUUUAAGAACCCUAAAUAAAGUAGGUUUGGUGAAAAAUCUCAGCGCCCAGGUGGCACCCAGCCGUGGCUUAGGCACAGUGGGUAACUUUGCUUCUAAUGCAGUGGAGGGAUUGGCAGGUUUUGAUGGGUUGGCAAUGGUGUUUAAGGAGGUUGGCAAAAUACCAGCUAUUGCUGUUGGCUGGUCUCCUGUAUUACUUCUCGGGGGUUCUGGUUUUGCUUUGAGGUCUUCAUAUGUAUCUUUUUGAAAAAGACUGGAGGGAAAGCCGAAAACUCAGAAGGGUCGCUCAGUUCUCUGGUGUUGGAAAGGAUUGCAGAUUUGGCUAUGCACCUAGAGUUUGCAAAUAGCGGUUGAGGUGCUUGGAAAGCAAAAGGCGCCGGUGGGAGCACAGGCUUGGUGUCCGACACAUGGACUUUCCUGCAGGAUGAAAGAGGGAAGCAAACAGGCUGGAAGGCAGGCUGCCGCCCUGCCCUGCUCCAUGCAUUUUCAUUACCCGGAGCACUUCCGUGAGGCCCGGGGCUGGGAAGAGCAGGAGGCAGUAGAUAAUCGGGUUGCUGUGGAUCCAUGUGCACCGCCAGAGGAGUGGCCUAGGGCUACACAGGCACCGUGAGCCUUCCCCGUCUCUGUGCAGCCUGUGCCUGCUCUGAUGGUGGUGGAGCUUAUGAUGAGAUGGCUUGGCAUCCAAUAUACAUGCUAGAUUUAACACGUUUUAAAGAGUCUAUUUUAAGGUAUGGGAUGCAUUAACCAUUUGUUAAGCAAGUGUUAAAUAAUUGGGCUAUGCAAAACAGACUUAUUUGAAUCCCAAGAUUGGAAGAGUUUGGUGUGAGCUGUUCCAGAAGCUGGUCAACAAUUACAAGGGUUAUCAUGGUAGAGGGAUGAAGCCAUGAAAAUGGAACAGCUCAGGACUUAAAAUCCCACCAAUCCACACUCUGGAAGUGCCUGCCCCAGAAAACUUUGCCCCUAAGAAUUCCUAUAUAAAGCCUGUGUUUGCCCCAGUCCCCCGCUGCUUCUCGAAGAGCAGAGGCAGCCACUCCUGGAUUCAUCCCUCCUUUCCUGAAUUUGUCCCUUCAAUAAAUCUCUUAAAAGAUUUACUGCCUGCUGUGACUCCCUUAUGGAAGGAAGAAGAAAUGA